ACGGGGAUAGCAAUAUCCUAGUGGCAAACGGGUGAGUAACACGUGGGAAUCUGCCCAAUAGUGGGGAACAACUCCUCGAAAGAGGAGCUAAUACCGCAUACGGUCUGCGAGGACUAAAGCCUUCGGGCGCUAUUGGAGGAGCCUGCGGCUGAUUAGCUAGUUGGUGGGGUAACGGCCUACCAAGGCGGUGAUCAGUAGCUGGUCUGAGAGGAUGGACAGCCACACUGGGACUGAGAUACGGCCCAGACUCCUACGGGAGGCAGCAGCGAGGAAUUUUCCGCAAUGGGGGAAACCCUGACGGAGCAACGCCGCGUGGGUGAAGAAGUCUUUCGGG
rnacentral:rRNA from 1 species